rnacentral:rRNA from 1 species
GAUGAACGCUGGCGGCGUGCUUAACACAUGCAAGUCGAACGGAAAGGCUCCUGCUUGCAGGGGUACUCGAGUGGCGAACGGGUGAGUAACACGUGGGUGAUCUGCCCUGCACCUCGGGAUAAGCCUGGGAAACUGGGUCUAAUACCGGAUAGGACGAUGGUUUGGAUGCCAUUGUGGAAAGUUUUUCGGUGUGGGAUGAGCUCGCGGCCUAUCAGCUUGUUGGUGGGGUAAUGGCCUACCAAGGCGUCGACGGGUAGCCGGCCUGAGAGGGUGUACGGCCACAUUGGGACUGAGAUACGGCCCAGACUCCUACGGGAGGCAGCAGUGGGGAAUAUUGCACAAUGGGCGCAAGCCUGAUGCAGCGACGCCGCGUGGGGGAUGACGGCCUUCGGGUUGUAAACUCCUUUCGCUAGGGACGAAGCGCAAGUGACGGUACCUGGAGAAGAAGCACCGGCUAACUACGUG